rnacentral:rRNA from 1 species
UUUAUGGAGAGUUUGAUCCUGGCUCAGGAUGAACGCUGGCGGCGUGCCUAAUACAUGCAAGUCGAGCGAACGGACGAGAAGCUUGCUUCUCUGAUGUUAGCGGCGGACGGGUGAGUAACACGUGGAUAACCUACCUAUAAGACUGGGAUAACUUCGGGAAACCGGAGCUAAUACCGGAUAAUAUUUUGAACCGCAUGGUUCGAAAGUGAAAGACGGUCUUGCUGUCACUUAUAGAUGGAUCCGCGCUGCAUUAGCUAGUUGGUAAGGUAACGGCUUACCAAGGCAACGAUGCAUAGCCGACCUGAGAGGGUGAUCGGCCACACUGGAACUGAGACACGGUCCAGACUCCUACGGGAGGCAGCAGUAGGGAAUCUUCCGCAAUGGGCGAAAGCCUGACGGAGCAACGCCGCGUGAGUGAUGAAGGUCUUCGGAUCGUAAAACUCUGUUAUUAGGGAA